rnacentral:rRNA from 1 species
UACGUAGGGUGCAAGCGUUGUCCGGAAUUAUUGGGCGUAAAGAGCUCGUAGGCGGUUUGUCGCGUCGGCUGUGAAAACCCGGGGCUCAACCCCGGGCCUGCAGUCGAUACGGGCAAACUAGAGUGUGGUAGGGGAGACUGGAAUUCCUGGUGUAGCGGUGAAAUGCGCAGAUAUCAGGAGGAACACCGGUGGCGAAGGCGGGUCUCUGGGCCAUAACUGACGCUGAGGAGCGAAAGCGUGGGGAGCAAACAGG